GUGGGAGGGCGGCGAAUAACAACGGAGCCCCGGCUCAGGGUUUUUCCUGAGUGAAGGCGAACACGUCGAGUGGAGGUGUGUUUUGCACUCCCCUCAGAAAAGCGAGCGCUGCAUUGUUAACCGCGACGUUACCGUUGAACCUGACGAGCAAGUCGUCGAUGAGCUGCCGCCGAUACGGACAGGGCGCCGGCCUUCUCGGGGAGCUGCGAGAUCCUGGAGGUCCCCGGGGGACGUGCUGGACACAUAAUGACAUGGCCACCGCAAUAAAGACAAAACUUGUCGGCAAAGCUGCUCAAAGUGUGGAGGAAGGCAACAAACGUACCUGUGGGAGCAUACUGAGCCCCUCCCCCACCUGCAGAGCCCCCAGCGACGACUUGAAAAGACAACACCUCCUCCCACUGUUGUGCAUGCUCUUUUCAUGCAAAUAAAGCACCACGCACGCACACACACACGCAUACACACACGCUACGGGCGUGUAACAGGAACAGGAAGUAACAGUCUUUGCACAAACACUCCCAAUGAAAACUGGUUUGUAUUUCGGGAUAUUCGGUGGUGUGACGCGGCAGACGUGUUCUUUCUAGCCUCAAACUUCACCGGAGUCCUGCAGGAGGAAGGCCAAAAAGUACAUCUUAGGCUCAACGGAGAUCUUGAUGAAGGACACCUCAUUGGUCCUGGAGUGACCCGGCUACUGAACUACACACUUUCACAAAAUCCUUUGGGGGAACUAGGUGAUGGUGAAGGGGGUGUGUGCGGUUGGAAUAGCUGGAGCCAUUGAGGGAACAGCGUUUACGUUCAGUUCAGGGCAACGUAGAGGAAAGAGCAAAGUGGAAAGCUCCCAGGAAAAACAAGAUGUUGGGAACCCAAAAGAACCACGAGAUGGCCUAAGGAACAAAUAACUGGCUCCCAAGGAAAAGAGUGGCGCUGAAAUAGGAACAAGGAGAUGUAGAUGUACAGAAAAAGCAGGUGGUGCGCAGGAGUCAGAAGUAGAUAUUCAACAGUGAGGUCUCAAUGUAAUAAGGAUGCUUUAAAGAGAGUAAGAAGCAGCACUUUACAGGCCGGAUUGUGGACGAGCCUUCUCAUCAACCGCCUGCACUAUGUGAGGACCUGGGACCAUGUCUCUGAAACUGUCCCACCCCCUCCAGCUAUAAACGGGGGAAUAAAAUUCAGGAAUAUUCUAUUUUUUACUCCUUUUAAUGCUUGCCUGAUUUUGUUCUUUUUCUUAAAUGAUGACUGCUAUAUCCUGGAAUUUCCUCGUGUGGGCCAAAUAAAGAAAUAGCUCAUCU